rnacentral:rRNA from 1 species
AUUGAACGCUGGCGGCAUGCCUUACACAUGCAAGUCGAACGGUAACGCGGGGCAACCUGGCGACGAGUGGCGAACGGGUGAGUAAUAUAUCGGAACGUGCCCAGUCGUGGGGGAUAACGUAGCGAAAGCUUUGCUAAUACCGCAUACGAUCUACGGAUGAAAGCAGGGGACCGCAAGGCCUUGCGCGAACGGAGCGGCCGAUGGCAGAUUAGGUAGUUGGUGGGAUAAAAGCUUACCAAGCCGACGAUCUGUAGCUGGUCUGAGAGGACGACCAGCCACACUGGGACUGAGACACGGCCCAGACUCCUACGGGAGGCAGCAGUGGGGAAUUUUGGGACAAUGGGCGAAAGCCUGAUCCAGCCAUGCCGCGUGCAGGAUGAAGGCCUUCGGGUUGUAAACUGCUUUGUACGGAACGAAAGACUCUGGUUAAUACCUGGGUCC